UUCAACUUCUUAAUAAUCACUUGCGCGCGCGCUCUCUCUCGCUCUCUCUCUCUCUCUCUCUUCUCUGAAUACGCAAUUAAUAAAGCGGCCUCCGAUUUUCUUUUCUUUCGUAGUCAUAUACAACAUUCUUUUUGGGUUUCUUUUCUCUUGAAUCUAACAUUUCUUUUCGCAGGAAUUUUCAUUUUUGAUCUCUCUGAUAUUUCGUACUGUUUUCUUGCGUAGUCAUAUAUAUAUAUAUAUAUAUAUAUAUUUUUGUGCGCAGUAAACAUAAUGGAUGCAGGAUCAAUGAGUUCUUCGUCUAAGUUGAAGUCAGAGUCUAGGUGGCCUCUUCGACAACAACUUCUUCAGGAAAGGAAUUCUAGGCAAAAUCUGGACAGGUUCAUCCCCAACAGAUCAGCGAUGGAUUUUGAUUUCGCGCACUUCAUGCUGACUGAAAGUAGGAAAGUUAAGAAAAACCCAGCUAUGGUAUCUUCCCCAUCCAAAGAGGCCUAUCGGAAGCAGUUGGCAGAGUCCAUGAACAUGAACCGGACUCGAAUCCUAGCUUUCAAGAACAAACCUCCGGCCCCUGUAGAAGCUCUUCCCACACGAGUUCUCUUCUUUACCACAGGACAUACCAGCAAAGCCCCGAAGGCACAUUCCUCAAACUUCAGAGAGGACAUUGGAUGCUCCCGAUCUUGUGGAUGAUUACUACCUGAAUUUGUUGGAUUGGGGAAGCUGCAAUGUUAUCGCGAUAGCUCUUGCGAACACAGUUUAUUUGUGGGAUGCUACCAAUGGUUCUACUUCGGAGGUCGCCACAUUUGAGGAUGAAGUCGGACCUGUUACCAGUGUGAAUUGGGCGCCUGAUGGACGCCAUAUUGCAAUUGGACUGGACAAUUCUGAAGUACAGUUGUGGGAUUCGACUGCCAAUAAGCAGCUGAGAACUUUGAGAGGUUGCCACAGAUCACGAGUAGGCUCCAUGGCAUGGAACAAUCACAUUCUUACAACUGGAGGAAUGGAUGGCUGUAUCGUUAAUAAUGAUGUAAGAGUUAGAUCACACAUUGUUGAGACAUACAGAGGACAUGAACAAGAGGUUUGUGGGCUUAAAUGGUCAGCCUCAGGCCAGCAAUUAGCUAGUGGAGGAAAUGAUAACCUCCUCCAUAUAUGGGACAGGUCAGUGGCAUCUUCAAAUUCACCGACUCAGUGGCUUCACAGGCUUGAAGACCAUACAGCUGCUGUGAAAGCCCUUGCUUGGUGUCCUUUCCAGGGCAACUUAUUAGCUUCUGGUGGAGGUGGGGGUGAUCGGUGCAUAAAGUUUUGGAACACCCACACAGGUGCAUGCCUGAACUCGGUUGACACGGGCUCUCAUGUUUGUGCUUUGCUGUGGAACAAGAAUGAAAGAGAGCUGCUUAGUUCACAUGGAUUUACCCAAAAUCAGCUUACUCUAUGGAAGUACCCCUCAAUGGCUAAAAUUGCAGAACUCACUGGCCAUACUUCUAGAGUUCUUUAUAUGGCUCAGAGCCCGGAUGGUUGCACAGUGGCAUCAGCAGCUGGUGAUGAGACACUCAGAUUCUGGAAUGUGUUUGGGGUUCCUGAGGUGGCUAAACCAGCUCCCAAAUCUAACCCUGAGCCUUUUGCUCAUUUCAAUCGUAUCCGCUGAUCAAGAACAUGAGGAAGUGUUCUUCUUUUCAUUCAUAUGGAGCCUUUUUGCGUCAGUAUUCUUCCUUUGAAAGUGGGAGCUCAAGAUGAUGGAUUGGAAACUCUUCCAAAACUGAUCAUUGAAGCAUUAGAGCUCCUACACAUUUGAUCAUUGAAGCAUUAGAGCUCCUUCACAUUUGAGAGCAGCCGCAAAUUAAGCGAAGCAAAUAUCGACAUUCAAUAUGAUCGACCAAAUAACCUGUUUGAAUGAAGUGCCAUUCACUUACACCAGCAAGUAACAAUAGCAGCCAAAGUACAGCCUGCUAGAAACACGGGGCAUCACAGUGUUCAAAACAGGACGAACAUGAAAUUCAAGGAUGCAUUUAAAACUAUAAAUAAGAUAUUGAAACCUUCCAAUAUUAUCAAUCCAAAAUACCUCAACUCACAAUUUUGAACUGAACCAACAUGGCAGGAUAUGGAAAAGUCUUUGUCAUGGUGGGUUUGGUCUGAACAAAUAUAGCACUAAUAAUAUCACCUGAGUUUUCAUAUGCUUAUGACGAUGAAUAUAUUAGUCCUGUUGCAGAACAUGGAGUGGAUGAUACAGACUUCCUUCCUAUUGUACCACCAGAGCCAUAUCCAGGAUACUACAAGUUUUUGCGGGAAUGUACCAAACAUAUGACGCCGCCGUGUGCUAAAGAGAUCUUCGCCGGUAUGUUCCGCGAUAAGCCUCUCACCAGAAAUUGUUGCAGAACACUUAGUGCAUAUGGGACAUGAUUGUCACAAUGGAUUGGUGAAAUUUCUGCUCCUAAACCCGCGCCUUAAAGAAAAUGCUUCCAAGGCAUAUCCUAAGAGUUUGCAAAUACGGAAAGAGUGUGUCUCAACCGUUGAUGUGGAUUCACCUGCUCCUGCGGAUUAAUCUUCUUCAUUACACUAAAUGAUCUGGUCGUUUGUAUGCAUAAACCUUGAACCUACUAAUUAAUUAAAAUUUUACUAUUUUUCUCAA